CAACAAUACACCAAAAUGAAAUAAAACAUUCACCUAACAUUAAAGUAUAGGAGAUAGAAAUUUUUAUCCUGACGCUAUAGAGAUAGUACCGUAAGGGAUAGAUGAAAGAAUAAAAUUCAAAGUAAGAAAAAGCAAAGAUUACCCCUUCUACCUUUUGCAUAAUGGUUUAACCAGAAAAAAUCUAACAAAGAGAACUUUAGCUAGAUACCCCGAAACCAGACGAGCUACCCAUGAGCAGUUUAAAAGAACCAACUCAUCUAUGUGGCAAAAUAGUGAGAAGACUUGUAGGUAGAGGUGAAAAGCCUAACGAGCCUGGUGAUAGCUGGUUGUCCGAGAAAGAAUUUUAGUUCAACUUUAAAAAUACCCCAAAAACCUUAAAUUCCAAUGUAUUUUUAAGAGAUAGUCUAAAAAGGUACAGCUUUUUAGAAACGGAUACAACCUUGACUAGAGAGUAAAAUCUUAAUACUACCAUAGUAGGCCUAAAAGCAGCCAUCAAUUGAGAAAGCGUUAAAGCUCAACAAAUUCACCAACA
rnacentral:rRNA from 1 species